rnacentral:misc_RNA from 1 species
AAAACCUUCUCACAGAAAAUGUGGUAUUGGUAGAAGUGGGUAGUACUAACAAAUAGUACUUUGUCUUACUCUACUGAAAUGAAUAGGCCAGUAAAGUGGACCAUGGUUGUAGACUCUAGGAGUAUUGUAAAAUGCUAAACUAGUCUUCACCAGGUGUAGAUCCUGAGCUAAAUGGACACCCCCUUUAGUCCAAAUCAGAGA